GCAUCAAUAUGUGAAGCAUGGUGGAGGCAGCAUCAUGAUGUGAAGCACGGUGGUGGCAGCAUCAUGACGUGAAGCACGGUGGUGGCAGCAUCAUGACGUGAAGCACGGUGGUGGCAGCAUCAUGAUGUGAAGCACGGUGGUGGCAGCAUCAUGACGUGAAGCACGGUGGUGGCAGCAUCAUGACGUGAAGCACGGUGGUGGCAGCAUCAUGACGUGAAGCACGGUGGUGGCAGCAUCAUGACGUGAAGCACGGUGGAGGCAGCAUCAUGACGUGAAGCACGGUGGUGGCAGCAUCAUGAUGUGAAGCACGGUGGUGGCAGCAUCAUGACGUGAAGCACGGUGGUGGCAGCAUCAUGACGUGAAGCACGGUGGUGGCAGCAUCAUGACGUGAAGCACGGUGGUGGUAGCAUCAUGACGUGAAGCACGGUGGAGGCAGCAUCAUGACGUGAAGCACGGUGGUGGCAGCAUCAUGACGUGAAGCACGGUGGAGGUAGCAUCAUGACGUGAAGCACGGUGGUGGUAGCAUCAUGACGUGAAGCACGGUGGUGGCAGCAUCAUGAUGUGAAGCACGGUGGUGGUAGCAUCAUGACGUGAAGCACGGUGGUGGCAGCAUCAUGACGUGAAGCACGGUGGUGGCAGCAUCAUGACGUGAAGCACGGUGGUGGUAGCAUCAUGACGUGAAGCACGGUGGUGGCAGCAUCAUGAUGUGAAGCACGGUGGUGGUAGCAUCAUGACGUGAAGCACGGUGGUGGCAGCAUCAUGACGUGAAGCACGGUGGAGGUAGCAUCAUGAUGUGAAGCACGGUGGAGGCAGCAUCAUGACGUGAAGCACGGUGGAGGUAGCAUCAUGAUGUGAAGCACGGUGGAGGCAGCAUCAUGACGUGAAGCA